rnacentral:misc_RNA from 1 species
AUUUCGUUUUCAUUUGCAACAGUUUCAUGAAACAGUAGCUGACGUAGAAUGGAAACUAAUUUUUUAUACUUCUCGGUCUCUGUUUGCUCGUCAAUUGUUCCGAUGCAUAAGUUGAAUAGGACUUUCAAAACUUCACAGGCAACAGACACCUCGUUACCUUGAGAAUAGGUUCAGUUGUAGUCUUGUACUUUCUUGCGAUAUCGGCAAGUAUCUCUAUAAGAUGAACAUCACCAUUGAGCUCGUUCUUAACAAUAUUUCUAGUGUUAAUACAGAGAGCAGUGACAAGGAAAAGAAGCCUCAGGUGGAACAGUAUUCCCUCAUGUGUUAAUUCAUUUCGGUGUUUACUUAUUCGUUGAAUAGCAUGUGAGAGGCAAGAUGUCUGUAUGAUAAAGGUCCUCACCUGCUUACUAUUAUAUAUCAAAUUACAUAGGAGUUUUAACGCUUCGACCAUGCCUGCAAACAACA